AGUGAACGCUGGCGGUAGGCCUAACACAUGCAAGUCGAACGGCAGCACCGUAAGAGCUUGCUCUUACGGGUGGCGCGUGGCGGACGGGUGAGGACUACAUCGGAAUCUACUUUUUCGUGGGGGCUAACGUAGGGAAACUUACGCUAAUACCGCAUACGACCUACGGGUGAAAGCAGGGGAUCUUCGGACCUUGCGCGAUUGAAUGAGCCGAUGUCGGAUUAGCUAGUUGGCGGGGUAAAGGCCCACCAAGGCGACGAUCCGUAGCUGGUCUGAGAGGAUGAUCAGCCACACUGGAACUGAGACACGGUCCAGACUCCUACGGGAGGAAGCAGUGGGGAAUAUUGGACAAGGGGGGCAAGCCGGAUCCAGCCAUACCGCGGGGGUGAAGAAGGCGUCCGGGUGGUAAAGCCCUUUUGUUGGGAAAGAAGAGCAGCAGGUUAAUACCCCGCUGUUCUGACGGUACCCAAAGAAUAAGCACCGGCUAACUUCGUG
rnacentral:rRNA from 1 species